CUGGAGACUAAGAAACCAGUCCUUGAAGUCAAGCUGACUCUGCUUUUAGCCUCCUAAAUUAAAAGAUAGAUAGAAUAGGUCUUGUUUGCAAAAUAAAUUCAAGAUCUACUCAUCUAUCAAUAGCA
rnacentral:snoRNA from 10 species